rnacentral:rRNA from 1 species
CCUACGGGUGGCAGCAGUGGGGAAUAUUGCACAAUGGGCGCUAGCCUGAUGCAGCAACGCCGCGUGAGCGAUGACGGCCUUCUGGUCGUAAAGCUCUGUUCUCAAGGAAGAUAAUUACGGUACUUGAGCAGGAAUCCCCGGCUAACGACGUUCCAGCCGCCGCGGGACUACGUAGGGGGCUAGCGUUAUCCGGAAUUACGGGGCGUAAGGGGUGCGUAGGUGGUUUCUUAAGUCAGAGGUGAAAGGCUACGGCGAAACCGUAGUAAGCCGUUGAAACUGGGAAACUUGAGUGCAGGAGAGGAGAGUGGAAUUCGUAGUGUAGCGGUGAAAUGCGUAGAUAUUAGGAGGAACACCAGUUGCGAAGGCGGCUCGCUGGACUGUAACUGACACUGAGGCACGAAAGCGUGGGGAGCAAACAGGAUUAGAUACCCCGGUAGUC